GAUGAACGCUGGCGGCGUGCCUAAUACAUGCAAGUCGAGCGAACAGACGAGGAGCUUGCUCCUCUGACGUUAGCGGCGGACGGGUGAGUAACACGUGGAUAACCUACCUAUAAGACUGGGAUAACUUCGGGAAACCGGAGCUAAUACCGGAUAACAUGUUGAACCGCAUGGUUUAACAGUGAAAGACGGUCUUGCUGUCACUUAUAGAUGGAUCCGCGCCGCAUUAGCUAGUUGGUAAGGUAACGGCUUACCAAGGCAACGAUGCGUAGCCGACCUGAGAGGGUGAUCGGCCACACUGGAACUGAGACACGGUCCAGACUCCUACGGGAGGCAGCAGUAGGGAAUCUUACGCAAUGGGCGAGAGCCUGACGGAGCAACGCCGCGUGAGUGAAGAAGGUCUUCGGAUCGGAAAACGCUGUUAGUAGUGAAGAACAAAUGUGUAAGUAACUAUGCACGUCUUGACGGUACCUAAACAGAAAGCCACGGCUAACUACGUG
rnacentral:rRNA from 1 species